UAUGUACUCCCUCUGUCCCUAAAUAAGUGACUCAAAAAUAGCUCAGUUUUGUACUAACUUUAGUAUAAAGUAGAGUCACUUUUGAGUCACUUAUUUUGGGACGGAGGGAGUACAUU
rfam:Hordeum vulgare subsp. vulgare, WGS project CAJW01000000 data, contig: morex_contig_56666